rnacentral:rRNA from 1 species
AACUUAAGCAUAUCAAUAAGCGGAGGAAAAGAAACCAACAGGGAUUGCCUCAGUAACGGCGAGUGAAGCGGCAACAGCUCAAAUUUGAAAUCUGGCUCUUUCAGGGUCCGAGUUGUAAUUUGUAGAGGAUGCUUCGGGUACGGCUCCGGUCUAAGUUCCUUGGAACAGGACGUCACAGAGGGUGAGAAUCCCGUACGUGACCGGCCUCCACGCCCGUGUGAAGCUCCUUCGACGAGUCGAGUUGUUUGGGAAUGCAGCUCAAAAUGGGUGGUAAAUUUCAUCUAAAGCUAAAUAUUGGCCAGAGACCGAUAGCGCACAAGUAGAGUGAUCGAAAGAUGAAAAGCACUUUGGAAAGAGAGUCAAACAGUACGUGAAAUUGUUGAAAGGGAAGCGCUUGCAACCAGACUUGCCUGCGGGUGAUCAGCUGGUAUUUUUACCGGUGCACUCGCCCGUGGUCAGGCCAGCAUCGGUUUGGGCGGCUGGAUAAAGUCCCCCGGAAUGUAGCUCCUUUCGGGGAGUGUUAUAGCCGGGGGUGCAAUGCUGCCCGCCUGGACCGAGGACCGCGCUUCGGCUUGGAUGCUGGCGUAAUGGUUGUAAGCGACCCGUCUUGAA